GAUGAACGCUGGCGGCGGGCCUAAUACAUGCAAGUCGAGCGAACAGAUGAGGAGCUUGCUCCUCUGACGUUAGCGGCGGACGGGUGAGUAACACGUGGAUAACCGACCUAUAAGACUGGGAUAACUUCGGGAAACCGGAGCUAAUACCGGAUAAUAUAGUGAACCGCAUGGUUCAAUAGUGAAAGACGGUUUUGCUGUCACUUAUAGAUGGAUCCGCGCCGCAUUAGCUAGUUGGUAAGGUAACGGCUUACCAAGGCAACGAUGCGUAGCCGACCUGAGAGGGUGAUCGGCCACACUGGAACUGAGACACGGUCCAGACUCCUACGGGAGGCAGCAGUAGGGAAUCUUCCGCCAUGGGCGCCUGCCUGCCGCAGCAACGCCGCGUGAGUGAUGAAGGUCUUCGGAUCGUAAAACUCUGUUAUUAGGGAAGAACAAAUGUGUAUGUAACUAUGCACGUCUUGACGGUACCUACACAGAAAGCCACGGCUCCCUACGUG
rnacentral:rRNA from 1 species